AUAAUUGUUUAUCAUUGAUAACACCUUGAUCAUGAAGGAGGUUUUCCCAGGGUAAGGCUCAUCCAUUGCACUGCAGGUGUGCUGACCCCUGUGAUUUCCCCAAAUGCGGGAAACUUGACUGCAUAAUUUGUGGUAAAGGUGAAGUGUGCCAUCGAGUUGAUUUAGA